rnacentral:lncRNA from 1 species
GUUUUGAUUUAAGAGAUAGAUCGAGGGUCUCAGUUCUAAAACAAACAACAAUGGCGAGGUGGUCUGGAUCGAGGUCUCAGAUGCUUGCUUUUGCUAACUGCAAUUGCAUUUAUCUACACACAGGUGAGGCUGUUCAAGGCACAGUAUAAGUAUGCUGAGAAGAUUACAGCUGUUGUCAGUUCAUCAUAUCCUAGUCUUUCUACUUUAAAGUGUUACUUAUGUGCUUCAACUUAAUAUUAAAUAUCAGUUUAUAAUGUUGCUUUUUUUAGU